CAAAGUAGGCCUAGCAUCUCAGUCACCUCCUGCUGCCUGUGGAUCAGGUUGUUGAACCCUCAGCUCCUUCUCCAGCACCAGGUCUGCCUGCAUGCUGCCAUGCUUCCUGCCAUGAUGAUAAUGGACUGAACCUCUGAAACGGAGGAGCCAGUCUCUUCGCUGUAAAGACCCCACGCUACCAACAAUUAUGGUUGACAAAAUCUGUCCGCUGAGGCGACUUCAGCGUAAGAGUGGUCUCUUCAUCUUCCUGAUAUAUGGGGUAUACAACCUAGAGCUCCCACGCCACGCUGCAACACGCUCUCCUGGCGUCCCCGGACUUCCCGCCCCUUGGGCUCCACCUCCGGAGCGCCUUCUCCCUAGAAACCCUCAGCCACUGUCUGCCCCUCAGCAGGGCCACCAAUCACGUCCCCUCGCUGCGGAAGACCCUCCGCUGUCCGCCUCCAAGUCCCCGCC
rnacentral:lncRNA from 1 species